UACGUAGGGGGCGAGCGUUGUCCGGAUUUAUUGGGCGUAAAGAGCUCGUAGGCGGCUUGGCAAGUCGGGUGUGAAACCUCCAGGCUCAACCUGGAGACGCCACUCGAUACUGCCAUGGCUAGAGUCCGGUAGGGGACCACGGAAUUCCUGGUGUAGCGGUGAAAUGCGCAGAUAUCGGGAGGAACACCUGUGGCGAAGGCGGCUACCUGGACCGGUUCUGACGCUGAGGCGCGAAAGCGUGGGUAGCAAACAGG
rnacentral:rRNA from 1 species